rnacentral:rRNA from 1 species
AGCAGGGACGAAGCGCAAGUGACGGUACCUGCAGAAGAAGCACCGGCUAACUACGUGCCAGCAGCCGCGGUAAUACGUAGGGUGCGAGCGUUGUCCGGAAUUAUUGGGCGUAAAGAGCUCGUAGGCGGUUUGUCGCGUCGGCCGUGAAAACUUGGGGCUUAACUCCAAGCUUGCGGUCGAUACGGGCAGACUUGAGUUCGGCAGGGGAGACUGGAAUUCCUGGUGUAGCGGUGAAAUGCGCAGAUAUCAGGAGGAACACCGGUGGCGAAGGCGGGUCUCUGGGCCGAUACUGACGCUGAGGAGCGAAAGCGUGGGGAGCGAACAGGAUUAGAUACCCUGGUAGUCCACGCCGUAAACGGUGGGUGCUAGGUGUGGGGGGCCUUUCCGGUUCUCUGUGCCGCAGCUAACGCAUUAAGCGCCCCGCCUGGGGAGUACGGCCGCAAGGCUAAAACUCAAAGGAAUUGACGGGGGCCCGCACAAGCGGCGGAGCAUGCGGAUUAAUUCGAUGCAACGCGAAGAACCUUACCUGGGUUUGACAUCGCCGGAAAACUCGUAGAGAUACGGGGUCCUUCGGGGCCGGUGACAGGUGGUGCAUGGCUGUCGUCAGCUCGUGUCGUGAG